UAUAGUUUAACAAAAACACUAGG
rnacentral:tRNA from 1 species